CAGUGUUGGUGGAGAGCAAAGCGGGAUGAAAAAUUCACUCCGUGUCAGAAGCUCUACAUCUAAUUUUUGAUUUUCAGAUAUAAUGCAACAAGAUGCUACAAGGAAAUGAACCUAAGGAGUGCCUGUAUUGAAGAAGGGAUGAAUCCAUGAAACAAGUGUAAAAAAGAUUUGAAGAAAGACACCAUGAAGCCCUUGAAGGCAAAGGAUGCAUUGAUGUCUUCAGUAUCAUUUAUGUCUCUACUAAAGAAUUACCACAUUUUUUUUUUCCAGGUGUCAUUGUACAUGAACCUCCAAGCUUGGCUAUUAAAAUGGGAUUUUGCUAGAAUGCAGAUUGCAAGAAUAGGAGUAAUGUCCAAUGAAUUUAGAAAGAAUGCAUUUGGUUCAGUUCUUGGCCCCAUAGAAUAUAAAUGAAAUUGACGAGCUGGACAGUAUCCAAAUGAGGGCAAGCAGUAUGGUGAAAGACCUGAAGAUCAUGGCAUUUGAGGAACAGUUGAAGAAACUUGGGUUAUCAGUUACUUGGAAUAAAAGAAAACAAAAGAGUUAUGAUAAAACUAUCAAGAAUUUGAAGAACUGUAUUGCAAAAAGAUUGAUUAAAUAUCUUCUAUUUGAUGCAGAAAGACAAACCAUGAGGAAUGUAUUCAAGCUUCAAAGAAGUAUUUAAGUUUAAUAUAAGGAAAAUCUUGUAAACCAUUAAAGCUGUACAAAGGGGAAAGGAACUGCCUUAGAGAGUUGUAGGUUUCACAUUGUUAGAAGUUUUCAAACAAACAAUUGAUGAGCAUUUUACAUUUGUUGUAGAAGAACUUAGUCUAGCAUGGGCUUGACUGGAGAGCUCUGAGGAUUUCUUCUAACUUUGAGAUUCUGAUUCUGGGAGCAUUUCAAUUAGCAUAUAUGUUUUAAUAUAUGUUCAACUUUCACUUUUCUGUGCACAUUGUCCUUAAGCACAUUACUAGUAGAAAUAGGCAUUCCCAAGAGUAGCUGAAUCCUCUUCACCCUCUUCAUUGUUCAAAUAGUAAUGGAAAUAGAAAGGAAAUUUACUAUUCUGCUACAGAAAUAAUGUUUAAGUGGAUGCUUAUCACCCACAUAACACCCAGAAGAAUUAAAGAUAGAAACCACAUUUAUCCAAUACAUGUAGUAUUUGGUUUAGAUUGAGAGGCCAUCCAGGGGGGUUAAUAAAUUAUACAAUGGAAGAGUGUAUUUGCUCUUCAAGUAAAGACAGUUGAAACUUGCUUUACUCUUAGCUUCAGUUACUUAAUAUGAUCAGAAUUUGAAGUUAACAGAGAAGAUAAACUUAAAGAAUUGGAGUCAGAAUGAGGCUUUAUCUUGAUUGUAAAAAAA